CUGUCAUGUCUGACUUAGUAGAAGGCAACUGAAUUCUUAUAUCUGCUUCUGUAUUUGGUCUGUGACGAUCUCACACAGCAUAGCCUAUGGAAAAUCAUGAGAGAAUGAGCAUAAUAAAAAUAGAUAGUGUCUUAGUAGAACUCUGAAAAUUGUUUUUGGAAGGAAAAAAAGAAAAGAAUAGUUGUAACCUUAUAGGUAACUUGAAAGGACGUCAGGAUCCCCAAGCCACUCUUUGAGAACCACUGUUCUAGAACAAUCUCCACAUGGUGGAAGGAGAUUGUCCUGGAGAGACUGGAUAUUUUGCCUAAAGUCACACAGCAAGAAGUACAUUGCAGAGUUAGGCUAAACUCAAGCCUCUGCCACCUUCUUUGUGGCUUUUCCCAUUCCUUUGCCUGGGCUAGGAUGGGCCUAACCAGGACUUUGGGAGGGGGAGCCUAGGCCGCUUGGCUGCAGAACCACUGGUGUGCGGUCCUAUAAAUAAUUGUGAGGGAACCCCUUCUCUCUCCCCACCCCAGCAGCUGCUAUUUUUUGUUGUUGGGUUAUACUGUGGACAAGGGAAGGGGAGUGAAGAAUGUUGAAAUCUGGAAGCCUUUGGGGCUGUUAAAAGUAGCUACCCUUCCUCCUGACCAACCUGAAAGGGCAGGGGCUGAUCUGGCUGUCCAUUUUAUUCCAAAGAAUUCAUACCAUGGUGGUAGCCAAGGUUCUUGGAGUGCCUGUGAGGAGGAAGCUGGAGGGGGAUGCAUGGGCCCCUUCUCCAGGGACAGAUGCAUUUCAGAAGGACUGUUGUGUCUCUGGUGCCAGUUGUCAGGAGGAGGGAAGGAAAUUCUUUAAUGCCCUCUUUCCCUGGUGGGGUGGGGAGGGGACCAGUUGAAAUUCUUAGGGCUAAAAGAAUGGCCACUUAAUCCCUGUUUUUGGCCAGGGAUUAAGUGGCCACUGUCAGGCCAGGAGUGUCCUGUGGGAAC
rnacentral:lncRNA from 1 species